CCUACGGGAGGCAGCAGUGGGGAAUAUUGCGCAAUGGGCGAAAGCCUGACGCAGCGACGCCGCGUGAGGGAUGAAGGUCUUCGGAUCGUAAACCUCUGUCAGCAGGGAAGAACGGUCACUGUGCUAAUCAGCAGUGAAUUGACGGUACCUGCAAAGGAAGCACCGGCUAACUCCGUACCAGAAGCCGCGGUAAUACGGAGGGUGCGAGCGUUAAUCGGAAUUACUGGGCGUAAAGCUCUCGUAGGCGGUAUGUCAAGUCAAGGGUGAACUCCCCGCGCUCAACGGGGGAACUGCCUUUGAAACUGGCAAACUGGCGUGUGUGAGAGGAUAGUGGAAUUCCAGGGGUAGGAGUGA
rnacentral:rRNA from 1 species